GGGGAAUAUUGCACAAUGGGCGCAAGCCUGGUGCAGCCAUGCCGCGUGUAUGAAGAAGGCCUUCGGGUUGUAAAGUACUUUCAGCGGGGAGGAAGGGAGUAAAGUUAAUACCUUUGCUCAUUGACGUUACCCGCAGAAGAAGCACCGGCUAACUCCGUGCCAGCAGCCGCGGUAAUACGGAGGGUGCAAGCGUUAAUCGGAAUUACUGGGCGUAAAGCGCACGCAGGCGGUUUGUUAAGUCAGAUGUGAAAUCCCCGGGCUCAACCUGGGAACUGCAUCUGAUACUGGCAAGCUUGAGUCUCGUAGAGGGGGGUAGAAUUCCAGGUGUAGCGGUGAAAUGCGUAGAGAUCUGGAGGAAUACCGGUGGCGAAGGCGACUUUCUGGACUGUAACUGACACUGAGGCUCGAAAGCGUGGGGAGCAAAC
rnacentral:rRNA from 1 species